UAGGGAAUCUUCCACAAUGGACGAAAGUCUGAUGGAGCAACGCCGCGUGUGUGAUGAAGGGUUUCGGCUCGUAAAACACUGUUGUAAGAGAAGAAUGACAUUGAGAGUAACUGUUCAAUGUGUGACGGUAUCUUACCAGAAAGGAACGGCUAAAUACGUGCAAG
rnacentral:rRNA from 1 species